AUGUAGGCUAGACUGGGUAGUUAGCUCUUACUUGUUACCACAAAUGAGCUUUAUGGUGGGGUUGAAGCCUAGUUGAGGCUUUAGAUUUGAUAAAUGGUCUCAGCUCGUACGUUGAUACUUUGCCCUAUUUGGCGGGUAUUUUUGAGAAUUAAGUCAGGCCGGGAACGGAGCAGCUUUAAUCUUUUAUAUCCGUGCUUGUAGGAUCCAAAGGGGAGGAAAAGCUGGGGUUAAGCUGUUUAUUGAGUUUUUUGUCGAUACUGGGUGUGCCUACAC
rnacentral:SRP_RNA from 1 species